GAUCCUACGGGGCGCAGCAGUGAGGAAUAUUGGUCAAUGGACGGGAGCCUGAACCAGCCAAGCCGCGUGAAGGAAGAAGGUACAGCGUAUCGUAAACCUCUUUUGUCAGGGAACAAAGGCGGGGACUAGUCCCCGGAUGAGGGUACCUGAAGAAAAAGGAUCGGCUAACUCCGUGCCAGCAGCCGCGGUAAUACGGAGGAUGCGAGCGUUAUCCGGAUUAAUUGGGCUUAAAGGGUGC
rnacentral:rRNA from 1 species